GGUAUUCCUUUGGAAACUUAACUUCCCUAUGUUAUUUUCUCUAUAAAACUCAUUAUAGCAGCCAACCUCACUGACAGACUGAUUGGACAUGGGUGCAUCAGGAAUACAAGGAAUAUUUCCUCAAACUACACACAGAGAGUGGUCAGGGGAAUGUUCUUUGCUCCUACAGUUACAACCUGUUGUGUUUCUUCAGAGCUUUAGGUUUUCCUCAGAGUGUUGUGGUUCAUGGUGUAUAAGAAGGUUAGUCCCCAAAAAUGGCUAGAAAAGCUUCUCUAAUAAGAAAUUAAGGGUAUAAUUUUCUUUUGGCACCACUGGAUUUAGAGAUAGUGCUGAACAUAGGCAGAAAACAGUCUGACAGACAAGACAGGUAAUUUAGAGAUAAAGGAGGCUAUGCUUUUGCACAUUACCGUGAAAAACUAUGUAUUUUUCUUCAUUUACAACCCACCCACCUCACACCCCCUUCCCCAUGUAUGUUUAUUUAGUAUCUUCAAAUAUUUGAAAUCUCAAAUCAAUGUUUUCACUAUGUCAUAGGAGUCUCAGGAAUUCUGGUGUGAAACAUUUUUCUCAUCUGGGAUUGAAAAGUGUAUACACUUGGAGUUUGAUCACCGGGCUGAAUAUUCAACUCACUGGCUCCUCAGCUGCUAAAGCUUGUUCUAGGAAGGAAAGAGAUUGUGACUGCUAUGUCUUCUUUCUCUGCUCCCUGGGAGACAUACUAUUCUGUGGUCUUGAAUCCACAGUCUCUAUUUAUCUUCCGAAUGUGGUGUUCCCGGGGAGCUGUGAGACUAGAUCCUGUAAGUGGAAGAAGGAAAGACUGGUACAACUCGCUUGAUGAUAGUGAAUUUUUAUACCCCAUUGGAACCAGCUUGAAUUCACCUUCUGUCAUGUGAGAAACAUAUUUUUUUUAUAUCUUUUAGAGAUGACAGUUUUGCAUUAAAUAAUUGCCCCACCAAAAAAGAACAAAAGGUAAUGGUCUCAUAGGCUUACAAAAACAAAACAAAACAAAACAACAAACAACAACAAACAACAAC
rnacentral:lncRNA from 1 species